CAGCAGCCGCGGGAAUACGAGGGGGGCAAGCGUUGUUCGGAUUUAUUGGGCGUAAAGGGUGCGUAGGCGGUUUGGCAAGUCUUGUGUGAAAUCUUCGGGCUCAACCCGAAGCCUGCACGAGAAACUACCGGGCUUGAGUAUUGGAGAGGUGAGUGGAAUUUCCGGUGUAGCGGUGAAAUGCGUAGAUAUCGGAAGGAACACCUGUGGCGAAAGCGGCUCACUGGACAAUAACUGACGCUGAUGCACGAAAGCUAGGGGAGCAAACAGGAUUAGAUACCCGGGUAGUCCCUGUCUCUUAUAC
rnacentral:rRNA from 1 species